AGUGAACGCUGGCGGUAGGCCUAACACAUGCAAGUCGAACGGCAGCACAGUAAGAGCUUGCUCUUACGGGUGGCGAGUGGUGGACGGGUGAGGAAUACAUCGGAAUCUACUUUUUCGUGGGGGAUAACGUAGGGAAACUUACGCUAAUACCGCAUACGACCUACGGGUGAAAGCAGGGGAUCUUCGGACCUUGCGCGAUUGAAUGAGCCGAUGUCGGAUUAGCUAGUUGGCGGGGUAAAGGCCCACCAAGGCGACGAUCCGUAGCUGGUCUGAGAGGAUGAUCAGCCACACUGGAACUGAGACACGGUCCAGACUCCUACGGGAGGCAGCAGUGGGGAAUAUUGGACAAUGGGCGCAAGCCUGAUCCAGCCAUACCGCGUGGGUGAAGAAGGCCUUCGGGUUGUAAAGCCCUUUUGUUGGGAAAGAAAGGCAGCAGGUUAAUACCCCGCUGUUCUGACGGUACCCAAAGAAUAAGCACCGGCUAACUUCGUG
rnacentral:rRNA from 1 species